rnacentral:rRNA from 1 species
UGCAAGUCGAGCGAACAGAUAAGGAGCUUGCUCCUUUGACGUUAGCGGCGGACGGGUGAGUAACACGUGGAUAACCUACCUAUAAGACUGGGAUAACUUCGGGAAACCGGAGCUAAUACCGGAUAACAUAUUGAACCGCAUGGUUCAAUAGUGAAAGGCGGCUUUGCUGUCACUUAUAGAUGGAUCCGCGCCGUAUUAGCUAGUUGGUAAGGUAACGGCUUACCAAGGCAACGAUACGUAGCCGACCUGAGAGGGUGAUCGGCCACACUGGAACUGAGACACGGUCCAGACUCCUACGGGAGGCAGCAGUAGGGAAUCUUCCGCAAUGGGCGAAAGCCUGACGGAGCAACGCCGCGUGAGUGAUGAAGGUCUUCGGAUCGUAAAACUCUUGUGUUAUCAGGGAGAAACAAAUGUGUAAGUAACUGUGCACAUCUUGACGGUACCUGAUCAGAAAGCCACGGCUAACUACGUGCCAGCAGCCGCGGUAAUACGUAGGUGGCAAGCGUUAUCCGGAAUUAUUGGGCGUAAAGCGCGCGUANGCGGUUUUUUAAGUCUGAUGUGAAAGCCCACGGCUCAAACGUGGAGGGUCAUUGGAAACUGGAAAACUUGAGUGCAGA